GUGUUGUAUGGAAGUUAGCACUCCCCUUGAUAAGGAUGGAAGAGGUCCUAGUGGCCUGUACAACACGGCUAUGGUUACGGAAAUACUAUAGCAGUAGGAGAACAGUGCAGUUGGAGAAAGCCAAUUUCA